rnacentral:rRNA from 1 species
UAUCGGGAUUACUGGGCGUAAGCGCACGCAGGCGGUCUGUCAAGUCGGAUGUGAAAUCCCCGGGCUCAACCUGGGAACUGCAUUCGAAACUGGCAGGCUAGAGUCUUGUAGAGGGGGGUAGAAUUCCAGGUGUAGCGGUGAAAUGCGUAGAGAUCUGGAGGAAUACCGGUGGCGAAGGCGGCCCCCUGGACAAAGACUGACGCUCAGGUGCGAAAGCGUGGGGAGCAAACAGGAUUAGAUACCCUGGUAGUCCACGCCGUAAACGAUGUCGACUUGGAGGUUGUGCCCUUGAGGCGUGGCUUCCGGAGCUAACGCGUUAAGUCGACCGCCUGGGGAGUACGGCCGCAAGGUUAAAACUCAAAUGAAUUGACGGGGGCCCGCACAAGCGGUGGAGCAUGUGGUUUAAUUCGAUGCAACGCGAAGAACCUUACCUACUCUUGACAUCCAGAGAACUUUCCAGAGAUGGAUUGGUGCCUUCGGGAACUCUGAGACAGGUGCUGCAUGGCUGUCGUCAGCUCGUGUUGUGAAAUGUUGGGUUAAGUCCCGCAACGAGCGCAACCCUUAUCCUUUGUUGCCAGCGGUUAGGCCGGGAACUCAAAGGAGACUGCCAGUGAUAAA